AGCCUAGUGGUUAAGGCUAUGGAUCGCCAAUCCGGAGACAGCGGGUUCGAUUCCCGU
rfam:Aedes albopictus isolate Foshan contig2260, whole genome shotgun sequence.